rnacentral:rRNA from 1 species
UACGUAGGGUGCGAGCGUUAAUCGGAAUUACUGGGCGUAAAGCGUGCGCAGGCGGCGCGUUAAGACAGGUGUGAAAGCCCCGAGCUUAACUUGGGAAUUGCGCUUGUGACUGGCGUGCUGGAGUGUGGCAGAGGGAGGUGGAAUUCCACGUGUAGCAGUGAAAUGCGUAGAGAUGUGGAGGAACACCGAUGGCGAAGGCAGCCUCCUGGGCCAGCACUGACGCUCAGUGCACGAAAGCGUGGGGAGCAAACAGG